UUUCUAGUGAGAAAGUUCUGAGAUAUAGCAGAUUUUCAAAGUGAUCUGGAAACCAAACUUUUUGAGAUGGGAGCCGAGGGAGGGCGGAACAAAAGCAAGUCCCAAAAGAAAGUCGCACUGAUCAAUCUGAAAAGGUUGACCUAAACAGCCUAGGGGCCUCGGUUGUCUCUCCUUCUCGAACCCUAGUGCAGAAUAAGAUUCCCGCGAGCCUGUCCCAGGGAGAGGUUAAUUGGAAAUGCGGGUGAUAGAAGUUGGUCAUCCCGACUGGGAGCCUCGCGGAGUGUCAGUUCCUAUAAUUCUAAAGUGGGAGUAUAUGGCCUUUCAUCCUUGAACCCUCAAGCAACCCUCCGGGGCCUAGGUUUCCCGGCCUGGAAGAAGGACUCCAUUCUCCUGUCUCCCCCAGGGGUCCCCUGUCUUUAGAAAGGCCGCAUCGGUGCGCCGCGCCUCCAGCUGGGCCAGACGCGAGCUGGAGGCCCUAAGCCCUUCCCAGGGCUUGGGAGUGCAGGAGGUCUGCAGAGGCGGCGUGAAUUGCACAGACGCGAGGAUAUUCCCUAACCCGCCCCGGGCCUUAAACUUCGUGGAGCCUGCGGACUUCUGCGAGGCUGCCAAUCUCCCCGGCGUUCGCAUCCCGACCCCUCCCGCCAGACCCCGGACGCCGUCCAGCACCACGCGAAAGUGGCUUCUUAGGCAAACUUCAGUCCAGCACUUCGAAGACAAAGGCCCACUUUUACGCAGAGACAAUAUACAAGAAAUGACUUCAACUCCAACUAUCGUGGUAAAGAGGGAAACCAUCCUCCACUAUCCACUAGGGAGAAACACAAGCAACUGACACAAGAGAAAGGUAAGGGGGAGGUAGGGAGAGAAACAGGAAAGGAAUAGAGGGAAAAAAGGGAGAAGUUGGAAAGAAGGGAGAUGAGGGAAAGGGAGGAAGGGGGUAGAGCAGAAGAGAAGCAUAGAGCACAAGGGGAAAUCCCCCAGGAACACAGAAAAAUAAGAGACCCAGGGGGACCCACACGGGGACAGGCGGCACGGGCUGUAGCUCGGAGCAAAGUUUUUCCGGCUCCCACUCCCCUCCUCUGCCCUCCUGGGGCCCGGGCCCAGCC
ensembl:lncRNA